rnacentral:rRNA from 1 species
UACGUAGGUGACAAGCGUUGUCCGGAUUUACUGGGCGUAAAGAGCGCGCAGGCGGUCGUUCAAGUCGAGUGUGAAAGCCCCCGGCUCAACUGGGGAGGGUCAUUCGAUACUGAUCGACUCGAAGGCAGGAGAGGGAAGUGGAAUUCCCGGUGUAGUGGUGAAAUGCGUAGAUAUCGGGAGGAACACCGGUGGCGAAGGCGGUCUUCUGGACGGUGACUGACGCUGAGGCGCGAAAGCGUGGGGAGCAAACGGG